GGGAUUUGAAAUAAAAGAUUUGGGUAGACUGGAAAUUAGGCCCCUGUUACUGGAAUAAGUUGGCUCUGCUGCCACUACAUUGGGUCGUUAUUAAGCUGGGCCCUGGUCCCUCUUUCGGUUGUUGCUGAAACGCUUUGGGCUAAUGCUAAUCAACUCUGAGUUGUUGAUGAUUGGAAGUACAUGUGUGGAUUAAGUGGCUGGAGUGUUGCUCCUUCCACCUCCCCAUUUGCUCCCUCCACCUC
rnacentral:lncRNA from 1 species